UACGGAGGGGGCGAGCGUUGUCCGGAAGUAUUGGGCGUAAAGGGAGCGCAGGCGGCUCUUUCAGUCAGAUGUGAAAGCCCAGGGCUUAACCGUGGAAUGGCAUUGGAAACUACCGAACUUGAAUUCAGAAGAGGAAAGCUGAAUUCCGUGUGUAGUGGUGAAAUUCGUAGAGAUAUGGAAGAACACCAGUGGCGAAGGCGGCUCUCUGG
rnacentral:rRNA from 1 species